GAACUGAAGAGUUUGAUCCUGGCUCAGAUUGAACGCUGGCGGUAUGCUUAACACAUGCAAGUCGAACGGAAACGAAACUAGCUUGCUAGUAGGCGUCGAGUGGCGGACGGGUGAGUAACGCGUAGGAAUCUGCCUGAUAGUGGGGGAUAGCCCGAAGAAAUUCGGAUUAAUACCGCAUAAUCUAUUCGUAGUAAAGUGGGGGACUUUCGAGCCUCACGCUAUCAGAUGAGCCUGCGUAAGAUUAGCUUGUUGGUAGGGUAAAAGCCUACCAAGGCAACGAUCUUUAGCUGGUCUGAGAGGAUGAUCAGCCACAUCGGGACUGAGACACGGCCCGAACUCCUACGGGAGGCAGCAGUGGGGAAUAUUGGACAAUGGGGGCAACCCUGAUCCAGCAAUACCGCGUGUGUGAAGAAGGCCUGAGGGUUGUAAAGCACUUUCAAUUGUGAAGAAAAGUUAGCGGUUAAUAACCGUUAACCUUGACGUUAACUUUAGAAGAAGCACCGGCUAACUCCGUGCCAGCAGCCGCGGUAAUACGGAGGGUGCAAGCGUUAAUCGGAAUUACUGGGCGUAAAGCGUGCGUAGGCGGUUUAUUAAGUCAGAUGUGAAAGCCCCGGGCUUAACCUGGGAACUGCAUUUGAAACUGGUCAACUAGAGUAUGGUAGAGGGAAGUGGAAUUUCUGGUGUAGCGGUGAAAUGCGUAGAUAUCAGAAGGAACAUCAAUGGCGAAGGCAGCUUUCUGGACCAAUACUGACGCUGAGGUACGAAAGCGUGGGUAGCAAACAGGAUUAGAUACCCUGGUAGUCCACGCCGUAAACGAUGAUAACUAGCCGUUGGGGGGAUUUACCCCUUAGUGGCGAAGCUAACGCGUUAAGUUAUCCGCCUGGGGAGUACGGCCGCAAGGCUAAAACUCAAAGGAAUUGACGGGGACCCGCACAAGCGGUGGAGCAUGUGGUUUAAUUCGAUGCAACGCGAAGAACCUUACCUGGUCUUGACAUCCUGCGAACUUUCUAGAAAUAGAUUGGUGCCUUCGGGAACGCAGUGACAGGUGCUGCAUGGCUGUCGUCAGCUCGUGUCGUGAGAUGUUGGGUUAAGUCCCGUAACGAGCGCAACCCCUAUCCUUAUUUGCCAGCACAUUAUGGUGGGAACUAUAAGGAGACUGCCGGUGAUAAACCGGAGGAAGGCGGGGACGACGUCAAGUCAUCAUGGCCCUUACGACCAGGGCUACACACGUGCUACAAUGGGAAGGACAAAGAGCUGCGAAGCCGCGAGGUGUAGCUAAUCUCAUAAAUCUUCUCGUAGUCCGGAUUGGAGUCUGCAACUCGACUCCAUGAAGUCGGAAUCGCUAGUAAUCGUAGAUCAGAAUGCUACGGUGAAUACGUUCCCGGGUCUUGUACACACCGCCCGUCAUACCAUGGGAGUGGGUUGCACCAGAAGUGGCUAGUCUAACUUUGUGAGGACGGUCACCACGGUGUGAUUCAUGACUGGGGUAAAGUCGUAACAAGGUAGCCCUACCGGAAGGUGGGGCUGGAUCACCUCCUUA
rnacentral:rRNA from 1 species